rnacentral:tRNA from 1 species
GCACCCUUAGCUCAGUUGGUAGAGUAGCGCAUUUACACUGCGAAGGUCGGGGGUUCGAGCCCCUCAGGGUGCA